rnacentral:rRNA from 1 species
GACAGAGGUGCCAAGCGUUAGGCGGAAUCACUGGGCUUAAAGCGUGUGUAGGCGGAUCGUUAAGUACCUUGUGAAAUCCCACGGCUCAACCGUGGAACUGCUCGGUAUACUGGCGAUCUUGAGCCACCUAGGGGCAACUGGAACAAGCGGUGGAGCGGUGAAAUGCGUAGAUAUCGCUUGGAACGCCGAAGGUGAAAACAGGCUGCUGGGGUUGCGCCGACGCUGAGACACGAAAGCCAGGGGAGCAAACGGG